AUACCCUGAGGUGAGGUAAUGAAUAAAAAUCUGUUUCCCUUUUUGUUGCCAUUAAAGGCAUGUUGACAGUAGAGAAAAAAAUUUGAACUCUUGCAAUUCUUAAAGUGCUUUAUGAAAGCAAUUAUCCACCUCGAGUUUCUCCACUAUUUCUGCUGAUCUUCAGCAAGUCCUUUUUAAUAAAAUGUGAGGAUCAUUUCCUGUCACUAUUGGGCUUUGAAGUUUGAUCUCCCCAAAAAGAUGACUGUCCUUUGUUAACUGGCCAUGCGUGGUGGCCUGUACCUUGUGGGAUCUGGAUGUUGAUCAGUAGUGAAGAUUUUUCUAUUUUAAUUCCAGCAGAAGAAACUUGCAAUCAGAACCCAAGGCAUAAUUCUUCCCUUUUGGGUGGGUGCCAGCCACAUGUCCUCUUACCGUCCCCUAGCAUGCGUCUAGCUGAAGAAGAAACAGUUCCCUGGGUGCUCUGCCUGCUGAGUGUUGGUGAAGCGCUGUGUUAAGAGUUCCCUGGGAAGGAGUCUUGUUGACCCUUGCAGGUUGCUUCUGACCAAUGGUAAGCUGACCCUUAGCAGCUGUGACAUAAGAAAGGUUAUUUUUUACACCAUUCACCCUGAUUCCCAUCAAGUCACAGCUUCCAUGUUCAGACAUUCAGUCUUGAUUUAGUGUUCUCCAUGACACACCCUCUCCACAAACUUACAUUCUGGAAAGGAUGUUAUUAAUAUGUUAAUGUAAAUUUAAGUUAAUGUCUUCUCUCUCUCAGGGAUAUGUGCAUUUCAAACCGUUCUUCUUAUGGAGUGAUAGCACCAGCUGACAGCAGAGGUACCGGGGGCCCUUCUGGAAAUUACAUCAUGUUAAACUAUCUCCCAGCAUGUCUUUUACGGUCUUAGCCUCUGGUCUCAUCUCCAGCACACCCCUCCUACCACUUUCUCUCAUUCAUUUAUUCAGCUAAUAUUUAUAGAGCUCCAGUAUGUGUCAUGUGUCAGGUACACAGGCGCACCACAGUAAGCUAGAGAAACACUCAGUGUCUACUGUCAUGGACUUUGUAGUUGAAUGAGAGACCCUGUCAAAUAAUCAUCCAAGUGAAUGUCAAGUUAUAACUGUGGUCGGUGCCACAAAGAGGAGAACAGUGCUGUGUGGAUGUCGUAGAGGACUUAGCCAGGAGGCCCAGGAGAGAUUCCCUGAGAAAGUUUGACUGAGCUGAGUGGGAGCUAACAAAACAAAAGGAAUGGACGGUAGGAUGGAUUGGUCUCCCAGGACUGCCAUAAUAAAGUAGCAAAAAUUUGGUUGCUGAAAACAUCAGAAAUGUACUGUCUCAUAGUUCUGGAGGCUCUAAGUCCGAAGUCAAGGUUUCAGCAGGGCCGUGUUCUCUCUGAGGGCUCUAUAGGGGAGUACUUCCUUGCCUCUUCUAGCUUCUGGUGUUUGCUGGCGACCCUGGGGGUUCCUUGGCUCGUAGAUGCACCACUUGAGGUACAUGGCUGUCUUCUCUCUUUGUGUCUUCACGUUACCUUCCCUCUGUACGUGUCUGUCUCUGUGCCCAAAUGGUCUCUCUGUAAUAAGAACAUCAGUCAUCUUGAAUUAGGACCCACCCUACUUACCUCAUUUUAACUUAAUUACCUAUGUAAAUACCCUGUCUUGCAACAGGAUCACAUUCUGAGCUACUAGGGGUUAGAACUUCCACAUAUCUUUUUUGGGGCCACAAUUCAACCCAUAACAAGACAAGGAAGAGAGGAGGAGUGUUCUAGGUGGGGGAAAUAGCACAUGCCAUGGUCCUUUGGUGUAAGGAAGCAUGGCUUCUCUGGAGUAGAGAGGGAGGGGGCACACGUGUGAGAGAAAGCUAAAACAGAAGUAAAGAUUAGUAAUUAGGCCUACAUUAGGAAUUUUGGUCAUAAUAUAAAAACAAUGAAAUGUUACUGGUGAAUUUCAGCAGGAAUAAGAUGUGAUCAGAUUUGCUCUUUGAAAAAAAAUCACCCUGGCUACAGUAUGCAGAAUGAGUUCAUGACAGCAAGAAUGGAGGCAGGUGUGCUGGUUAGGAAGCUCCUGCAAUAGAGCAGGUGAGAGAGGAGGGGACAUAGAGGGAAUUGGUCAUAGGAAGUAAAAUUAGUGAGCCUUGAUGAUAAACUGGAUGUGGCACGGAGGAAGGAAUGGUCAGGGAUGAUCUGUUUCUAGAUUUCUGUCUCAUUUGCCUAAAUGCAUGUAGGGGGCACUGAGCACGAACCAGGUUAGGGGCAAAAUGAGCUCAGUUUGGAGAUGCGAGGCUUGGGGUGCUCCUCGUGGAAUUGUCAGGUAAGCAUUGGGAGACCUGAAGCUUAGAGGAAAGGUCCCAGCUGAAGAUGAAAACUAGAAUCAUUGGCGUGUAAGUGAUAAUGGAAGGCGUGCACGCUGGAUGAGAGCACCUACAGAGAAAAGGGAAGAGGGUCUAGGGCAAGAGCAGAAAAUGGGCCCACAAAGGAGAUUGAGGCAGAGCAGCCAGAGAGAGAAAAGGACAACCAGGAGAGUGUGGCUUCACAGAAGCCAGGGGAAGAGGAAGUGGUCAGAUACAGCUGAGAGAUCCAAAGAAUGUCCAUUGGAUGUAGCAACAUGGAAGUGAUUGGUAACCUUACGGAAAGAUGCUUUAGUGUGGUGAAAUGGGAGGCAGCCAGUCUGGAGGGGCUUGAAGGGUGAGAGGAAGGUAAUCAGGACAGUUUGUACAGACAUGGCCGCUUUCCAGAAGGUUGGCUGUGAAACUGGAGGAAAUGGUUGCUGGAAGUGGAGCGUAGGGCUGUCUUAGCUCAGGCUGCUGUAACAAAGUGCCAUAGAUGGAGGGGGCUUAAAUGACAGGCAUUUAUUUUCUCACAGUGUGGAGGUGGAAAGUCUAAGAUCAUGGUGUCAGUGUGGUUGAUUUCUUGUGCGAGCUCUCUUUGUGGCUUGUAGUGGUCGUCUUUCCACUGUGUCCUUGCAUGGUGGGAAGUGAGAGAGAGGUUAAGUUUUCUGGCGUCUCUUCGUUUAAGGGCACUAGUCUUAUCAUAAGGGCCCCACCUCCUCUAAAGUUAGUCCCCUUCCAAAGGUCCCAUCUCCAAAUACCAUCUCAUUGGGGGUUAGGGCUUUAAUAUAUGCAUUUUGGGGGAACAAAAUUUAGUCCAGAACAGGAGAGGGUGGCUGGUAUUUUUUGUUUGUUUUUGGCUGGUGUUUUUUCAGUAGGAGGGACUUCAGCAUGCUAAAAGUUGCAAUUGAGGGGUAAAGAUUAAAUAUUUGAGUGAGAGAAGGGUAACUGAAGGCAUGCAGCAAGAGGAGAAUAGAGAAAACGGCCUUAGAAGAAGAGAUGCUCUCUCACUUAACAGGACUCUAGGAUUUUGUCCUCUGAGGGAUAACAGCAGGGGUGUGGAAUUGCACAGAACCACCUCACCUGUGAGUGUUCUCAACUGUCAGGAUCUCUCUCCUUAGGUUUAUUGCUGCCUCAACCUGCUGCAUAGAAGAGGAGCAAACUGUCAGUGUCUCGAUAUUUUAAUACAUUUCAAGUGUCAAAGAAAAUCAUUUUUUACCUUUUCUCACCCCUGGGUAGGGGUAGGGUGGGAAGCGGGAAAUAAAGUGAUGUUUUCUAGGAAAAGAUCUGUAAAAGAUGGUGGUGGUGGUGGCAGUGGUGUUUUUCUCAUAAUCACGGCUUCUGUGCUCCCCUCCCUCCUGUGUACUUCCUCCAUCAACAGGAAUCAGCAUCUGAGGAGCAGGGGCCCUUGGAGUGCUCUUCUAUGACACCUGACAGAUAGCGGAACCUACCGUCUUCCCUUUCUGGGGCUCCCCUCACACCAGUCCUCUCUCAGAUGACCCUUGGAACUGGGCUGAUGCUGCAGGCCAGGGCAGCCCCUGGCAGUGGAUGAGAUCAUGUGACAGCUUCUGGCCAACAGACUGUAAGUCGAUGUGCCAGGAGUCGCUGACUGUCUUCUUCACCUGCUGCAUCCACAGUAAGAGGCCUUGUCUCCAUGGUGGAACCACCAGAAACAGCCUGCGUUCCUGAGCCCCUGCUGAAAACAAGGUGCCCUGGAGGACCCUCGGAGCCACAGUGGACUUUGCAUGAGUGCCAGGAUGGGCCAACUCAUGGACACAAAGGGAACAGGCAGAGCCCAUUGCAAACCGAGUGCAGCUGAUUCGUGGAUGGCAAUGCAGGAGGCGGGAAUGUUUAAGUAAUCAUAACAACAAUAACGCCAGCAAAAAAAUGCCUCCAGUGACUUCUCAGUACAAGGAACUGUUCUCCCAACAGACCACGGAUGUGCUUUUUAAACUCUGUUAAAGGUAAAAUCAGCUGGUGGGGUUAAAU